GACGAACGCUGGCGGCGUGCUUAACACAUGCAAGUCGAACGGAAAGGCCCUGCUUUUGUGGUGUGCUCGAGUGGCUAACGGGUGAGUAACACGUGAGUAACCUGCCCUUGACUUUGGGAUAACUUCAGGAAACUGGGGCGAAUACCGGAUAGGAUCUCCUGCUGCAUGGUGGGGGUUGGAAGUUUCGGCGGGUGGGGAUGGACUCGAGGCUUAUCAGCUUGUUGGUGGGGUAGUGGCUUACCAAGGCUUUGACGGGUAGCCGGCCUGAGAGGGUGACCGGCCACAUUGGGACUGAGAUACGGCCCAGACUCCUACGGGAGGCAGCAGUGGGGAAUAUUGCACAAUGGGCGGAAGCCUGAUGCAGCAACGCCGCGUGCGGGAUGACGGCCUUCGGGUUGUAAACCGCUUUCGCCUGUGACGAAGCGUGAGUGACGGUAAUGGGUAAAGAAGCACCGGCUAAAUACGUG
rnacentral:rRNA from 1 species